rnacentral:rRNA from 1 species
CGAACGGGUGAGUAACACGUGGGCAAUCUGCCCUUCACUCUGGGACAAGCCCUGGAAACGGGGUCUAAUACCGGAUACUGACCCUCGCAGGCAUCUGCGAGGUUCGAAAGCUCCGGCGGUGAAGGAUGAGCCCGCGGCCUAUCAGCUUGUUGGUGAGGUAAUGGCUCACCAAGGCGACGACGGGUAGCCGGCCUGAGAGGGCGACCGGCCACACUGGGACUGAGACACGGCCCAGACUCCUACGGGAGGCAGCAGUGGGGAAUAUUGCACAAUGGGCGAAAGCCUGAUGCAGCGACGCCGCGUGAGGGAUGACGGCCUUCGGGUUGUAAACCUCUUUCAGCAGGGAAGAAGCGAAAGUGACGGUACCUGCAGAAGAAGCGCCGGCUAACUACGUGCCAGCAGCCGCGGUAAUACGUAGGGCGCAAGCGUUGUCCGGAAUUAUUGGGCGUAAAGAGCUCGUAGGCGGCUUGUCACGUCGGUUGUGAAAGCCCGGGGCUUAACCCCGGGUCUGCAGUCGAUACGGGCAGGCUAGAGUUCGGUAGGGGAGAUCGGAAUUCCUGGUGUAGCGGUGAAAUGCGCAGAUAUCAGGAGGAACACCGGUGGCGAAGGCGGAUCUCUGGGCCGAUACUGACGCUGAGGAG